GGCUUCCACCAUGAUGACUACUCUACCACAGUUCAAUGGACUCAAACCCCAACCUUUCUCAGCUUCUCCAAUUCAAGGCUUGGUGGCAAUUCAACCAAGACGCAACAAAGGACAAGGUGGUUUGGGAGCUCGUUGUGAUUUCAUUGGCUCAUCCACUAAUUUGAUAAUGGUGACAUCAACAAGCCUGAUGUUGUUUGCUGGUAGAUUUGGUCUAGCACCAUCAGCAAACAGGAAGGCAACUGCAGGGCUAAAACUUGAAGUGAGGGACUCUGGGUUACAGACAGGGGACCCUGCUGGAUUUACACUUGCUGAUACUUUGGCUUGUGGUACUGUGGGUCAUAUUAUUGGUGUUGGAGUUGUUCUUGGACUCAAAAACAUUGGUGCUCUCUAAAAUUUGUAUUACUCCUUAUGUUUAUAAGAAAAACAAAUCAUCUUUUGUGAAUUAUUCAUAUUUCUAUGUACACUUCUUUUUCCUAAAUUU
rnacentral:misc_RNA from 1 species